GACGUAGGUGGCGAACGUUAUCCGGAAUUAUUGGGCGUAAAGGGUGCGUAGGUGGCCUGGCAAGUUAUCAGUGGUAAAUCGAGGCCCAACCUCGUGGAAACUGGCAAUACUGCUUGGCUUGAGUGCAGGAGAGGUUAACGGAACCCUAUGUGGAGCGGUAAAAUGCACAGAUAUAUAGAAGAACAUCAAUAACGGCGAAGGCAGUUAACUAUUCUGUUACUGACACUGAGGCACGAAAGCGUGGGGAGCAAAACGG
rnacentral:rRNA from 1 species